CUAAUCCAAAAGAAAGGCCCAAAGUUGAAGUCCAUGUGCACGUGAAAGUGGAAGAGUUUAAAAAAUGAUUUGUUUUUUGUUUUCUUCAAAUCUCAUUAUUUUCUCAUUGGUUCUGUUUUUGGUUUUAUAGUUAUCAGCAUCAAGUAUGAGCUAUGUCAUUUGAUUCGUGUUUUUCAGCUAAUUUAUUUAUUUUUUAUUUUUUUUUGACAACAGCCGUGUUCUUUUCC
rnacentral:lncRNA from 1 species